CUUUCAUGUGGGAAGGAAGAACAAAGCACCAAACUCACAAGUUGCAGCCAUUGUGCAUCAACAAGCCAAACCAUAUUGUCAGAUCUUCUACAUUUGCAACGAGACUCUUGCUUGCUCUAGGGAGGCCACUCAGCGUUUGAUAAAAGUAGAGUCACCGCAAAGCAACUACACAAGCACUGAUUCAGACCGAUCUGAGUUCCCUGCAAGAUCCCAAUCACUAUCACCGGGGCAUACAGGUUUCUUCGGCUCCACAGAUCAAAAAGCCCUACAAUGACAGUCCAAGCAGCCAGUUAGCUAUAUAUAUAUCCCUUGUCAGCAUCGAUAACAGACAACACGGAGACCAUACCAGGUGCAAGGAACCAGUCAAUUCAUACGAUGACAUCAACAGGUUUCUCCCUGAAUUUCAGCCAGCAAAGCUUUCAAGGAUCUUCACCAACUCUAAAGGAUUCGGAUAAUAUGAAUGGUUCACUGGUACCUGUUUCAGUUGGAAGCUCUAAAGAACAUCAACACUCUAUGAUGGAAACCACUGUGCAACAUGAAGUGUUCGGGCAACUACAACUACUCCUUGAUGAUCUGGAGUGCUCGAAAAGAGAAACAUUUGAGGGUCAGCAGAAAAUAGCGAGGGGUCUGUUCGAAAAUCCUACGAUGUGCAAAGCACAGGAGAAUUCACCCCGUAAAGAGAAAAAUGAGCGAGAGGAAAGACUGGCCAGAGAAAAGGCCGGACUCAAAAAGGAACACCUUCAUUUAUACAACGAGCUGUAGAAAGCAAAUGAGCAACGAGCAGAACUUGAGAACAAGCUUCUCCAGACAAACUCCCUGAUGGAAGAGCUCCAGCGCAAGAAAGAACAAGCUGUUAAACAGGUUGAAGGGAUGCGCCAAACAAACGGUAGCGGUGCAUUUGUAUUUGGCUCUACCAGUAGUAGUGCCAUUGUGUUAACUGGUUUC